GUGCUCACUUCGGCAGCACAUAUACUAAAGGUGGAACAAUACAGAGAGGAUUAGCACGGCUCCUGAUCAAGGCUGACAUGCGAAUUCGUGAAGCGUUCCAUAUAUUU